rnacentral:pre_miRNA from 1 species
GGCUCCCGCCCGGUUCAAGUAAUCCAGGAUAGGCUGUCGGCACCACGGCCUGUCCUCGGUUACUUGUCUCGGGAGGUGGCC